GUGACCGCUCAGGCCAGGACCUGGAUGCUAUCUACUCCAGGCUCAAGGAUGUGAGGGCUUUUGAAAAAUUCCACCCCAUGUUGCUACAACAGAUCUGUUACUAUGGUUACUAUGAAGAUCUAGAUCCUGGGAUUAUAUUGUUCAGGCAGGGGGAUAUUGGCACAAACUGGUAUGCUGUCUUAACAGGAAGUUUGGAAGUCAGAAUCUCAGAGACAGGAAAUCAGAAGGAUGAAGUCACAUUAUGCACC